rnacentral:lncRNA from 1 species
CCACUAUCUCUUCUGCUUUGAAGUGCGGCUCUGUGUGCUGAGAGCAGGCCAGGUACCCAAAAUACACCAACCAGACUCAAAUCCCAACCCUUGUGUAUCACAUGGCCACGAUCUAAUCCCACAGCCUUCAGUUCCAAUUUGUUUUUAUUGUCUGUAUCAGUCAGUGGUUGGUCCCACCAUGCUGGAUAACAAACAGCCCCAGACAUCCGUCGCUUAAAGUGACCAUCAUUUACACCCCCUGUGGUGGUUAGGUUUAUGUGUCACCAUGGCUAUUCAGUUAAUCAAACACACAUCUGGGUGCCACCGCAAAGGCAUUUUGUAGGUACAGCUGACACUUACAAUCUGUUGACUUUAAAUAAAAGAUUACCCUGCAUAACUGGUGGGCCUCGUCCCAUCAGUUGAAGGCCAUCGCAGCAAAGACUGAGUUUUCCCAAAGAGGAGGAAUUCUAUCUCCAGAUGACAGCGUCGAGUGCAGUCUGAGUUUGCAGCCCCACUGGCCCCACUCUCGCCUCUGCAGGCUGGGUGGGGCCUGGCUGAGCAGGUCUGGGUUCCAUGGGGCCAUGGCUGGUCUCAUAUCUUGGGCUGCUCAGGGCACACUGUCCUUGGCAACAGCAGAGAAGCAGGAGGGCUGAGUCCCUGGGCACUUUUCCAGUCCCGCUUGCCUCCCACCUGUCCCCAGCCUCUGGCCAAAGCAGGUGCGUGAUGGAGCCCUGUGUGCAGGCCAGGGAGGUAUGCUUCGCUUCUGGGGGGAUGGACAAUGUCACGGGCAGAGGUGAGGGCACGUGGAGGGUCAAGAGUCAGCAGCAGCCGUGCCGUCCUCCUCCUCCUCCCCAGGCGUCGGACAGAACCGGAGCGCCUGGGCAGAACCGGGGCCCACGGGCCAAGGACAAGCCAAGUCUUCUCUGAGGACCUGUGCAGGCGCCACGGAAAGUGGCACAGAGUUGUCACCUAACGCCUCCAUGCGCUUCACACGCACGCCUGCUUUCUCUUUGGUUCAGUGCGCCUUUUCUCCUUGGGGCUAUUUCACAUGAGAUCGGCGUUUAUUUUCCAGCCGAAUCAGCAGGCUUACUUCGGGGUUUUUUGCAGCUGUAGAAAAGCUGCACCUUCUCUUCUCUGCAUGUGUGACCUUUCUAGACAGGCAGUGUCUGGUGUCACCUGAGAAGGUGUCAGUUAUGUGAGUGGAUGUGGGGGAGGGGCCUGGCGAACACACACAAAAGCCCCUGAGGGAAAAGCCAGCAAAGAUGGAUGAGCUUUGAGAAAGGAUUUCCAGCCAAGGGAAAAGCACCCGUAAAAUCGGAGAAAAUGAUAAUUGGUGAUAAAUGAUAAUGACUUCUGUUUAAGCAAGGCUAACACGGUGAUGCACGGGCCAGAUGCUCAAGCGUGGUCAUAGACCCUUUGGAAACAUGUCUAAUCUACCAAAAACUACCCUAGAAUGUCCUCGUUCCAGAAAAAAAUUUGUGCAUGCUCGUGCGGAAACACACACACACGCAAACGCUCACACACACACGCACACUUUCCAAACCUACAGUAUCAGCCUCCAGUUAGGGGACCUACAAUUUCAAGGAGUCCGUGGGCCCAUCUCUGGAUUAGGGAGCCACUUAGGCGUCCAGAUUCGUAGGAUAGUUGAUCAGUUGAACAUGUACAGUUAAGGGAGAAGGAGAAGCCGGCUCAGCUCUGUCCUGUGGCUGAUGGGGUAAAGGACGGGGUUGGGCCUGUCCUGGGCCCUAAGGGCAGCCUCUGGGGAGAAGAAAGCAGCCGUGCGUGGAGGGCCCACUCGUGCUCCUCUAGGUCAAAGCCCAGAGUCAGUUGUUUGCAAAGGGCCCCAGGUUCUCUGGUCGCUGCAUCCCCACAUGCCUGACCCGGGGUGCACACCUGGUCUUUUGCACGGUGCAACGUUCACAACCGAAACUUCUAGACACGCUCUCAGUUCCAUCAAGUGUCCUUUCCUUGAAAUCCCUGAGAACCAGGUGUGGGUUCCACUUCCUAAGAUGUACAUUCUUUACCCCUCCCCACCGUGCAGAUGGCCCUGUGGGCCAGGUGUGCCGUCUGGGAACCACGGUCAGCCUCGCGGAGGCUGGAUGCAGACGUCCACAGGCCUCAAGCUGCAUCCCAAACUGAAGGGCUGGCCAAGGCCCAGCCCGUAUCCCAUUACUUGGAAGAUGCUUCCUUUUACACCGCAGUACACAUGAGAACCACAGUCUGCAAUCCCUGGCCCAGCCCGCAGCGAUGCGCCUGGCCCCCUGGCACCCAGGCCUGCUCAGCCGUGGAAGCGUUGUUUAUUUGUCAAGGUACAUACAGCAUCGUGUCCCCCGCAGUCCGCGGCAUCUUAGGCUGAAGUACAGUCAGGCGAAGGGGGCCCCACUCAAGGUCCUGAGCAGUGACAGGGCUUGUGGUGGAUUCGGUUUCAGAAAAAACAUGUUUCUCGGACACUUCAAAGGCCAAACCAGACUCCUCUGGUCAAGGUUUGGUCCAGGUCGUUGGCCCUCAUCCUACCUCGGCCGAGUCACUCUGUGACUGACGUGUGGGGGGGGUGGACAGAGCCGGGGGGGACCGGAGUGCCUCCCUCCCAGGCAUGUGGCCUCUUGAGCAGCGCGACCCCUUAGAACUCAGAUGAUCAUUGAAAGUACACGUCAGAACAGAGUCAGUAAAGACAGUGCCGCAUCUGGAAAAGCAACUUCAUGGUAUUUUCGUAAUAACGACCCCAAGAUUUCUUGGGUGUGCGGGGCCCUCGUGAGAGAGUGUAUACUCACGGCAGCUGCCAGGAACCCGUGGGGCCAACACUCACCAAGAAGAACAAUGACAUUGAUUCGGCGCCCGGGAUCUGCUCCGACGCGGGCGCUCCGAGAUUAAUAAGAGCCGGUUUCUGUUGUUGAUGAGAUAGCAUCUUAAUGAGCGAGAUAGCCUACAAAAUAAUUAAAUGUUUGAACAAUUGGUUGAUCGAUAGGUCACUUUUCAUCGCUGCAUAUCGUCUCUUACUUAGUUUUAAAAAAGGUAUUUUUAAUUUCCAUUUAGUAAAACUCACUCUUUUUGGAGUAAAGAUAGGUGAGUUCUGACCAAUGGAUGGAGCCCUAUAGCUACAACUGCGACCGAGAUACAGAAAGGCUUCCUCAGCCUCAGAGCUGCCUGGAGCCACAGCUUGGCGGGCACGGCCUCCCCUCCCCCGUCCUCCCCCACAAGCACCCCCCUUCCCCACCAGAAUAAAGGGCGCCCUGCCGCGUGCGCUCUUGAGACUGACAGCGUGCGUCACCACGAAGCUCUUGGGACCCGAGCGAGUUGUCUCCGUGCGCGUGAGAUGGUGCUUGUUGUCCAGUCUCGGGGGAAGAGCAUCAGGGUGGCUUCUAUGAUUUGAGCAGAACGACUGCAAACGUCCGUGUGCACGUAGGUCCUUAGGAAAACACAUGCUUUCCUUCCACUGGGAUCAAUACCUAGACGCGGGCUUGCUGGCUGUCCUGGUGGGUGUGCGUUUCACGUCACUAGCUGUCAUCGAGCCAUUUUCCAGCGGGGCUGAACCCUCUCAUGUUCCCACCCACCAUGCAGGAGAGGUCCAGUUUCUCUGCAUCCCCACCAAUGGUUGAGCGUGUCAGCUAGUUUCUAGUGAACAAACUCCUGUGGUUCCAGGAACACCCAGAAAGUGAAAAGCUAACCUACCGACUGGGAGAAAAGAGUUUCAAACUGACGUCUCCUAUGGGUCUAGCGACCAAAUACAUAAAGAGCUCUUAUAACUCAACAAUAAAAAGACAAAUUAUCUAACUAAAGAAUGAGCAAAAGGGAGUUGCCACUGUGGCACGGUAGGUUGAGAAUCUGACUGCAGUGGCUUGGGUUGCUGAGGAGGCAAGGGUUCAAUCCCUAGCCUGGUGAAGCGGGUUACAUGGUCUGGUGUUGCCACAUUGGGUUACAUGGUCUGGUGUUGCCACAUUUGUGGCUCAGAUUCAGUCCCUGGCCUGGGAAGGUCCAUAGGCCAUGGGCGUGGCCAUAAAAUAAAAUACUAAGACUUUGAAGUUCCUGCUGUGGUGCUGCGCGGGUUAAGAGUCUCACUGAGACAGUGCAGAUCACUGCGGGGGUGCAGGUUCGAUCCCUGGCCCGGGAACGCCCACACGCCGCAGGUGCAGCCAUUAAAAGAAAAGGAAGGAGCAGAGGAUCUGAAGAGAAUGUCCCCGAGAGAGAGGAACAGAGGACGGAUCAGACAGGAAGACACACUCACGGCGCCCCAAGUCUCCAGAGGAACCACAGCAAACCCACGGGGAGAUACCACACCCACGCCUCGUGGUGAUGCCCAAAGAGGGGUGAUGACAGGCAUGACAAAAAAACGAAACCUUCUCUGCUGGGAGUGACAUGGAAAUGGUGCAGCCACUGGAAAGCAGUUCUCCCGGAACCUCCCACACGUCUGAGUGUGUGGUGUCUUGUCCGCAUUCUUCGCCAAGUAUUUCCUCAUUUCCCGUAUGGCUUCUUCUUUGACUGAUUGGUUAUUCAGGCGUGUGUCGAUUAAUUUCCACAUAUUUGUGAAUCCCCAAAUUUCCUUCCAAUCCUGAUUUCUCAUUUCAUUCCAUUGUGAUCGGAGAACAUACACUUUAUGGCUUGAAUCCUUUUCAACUUACUGAGACUUUAUUGAAACCCAACCUGCCGUGUGUCCUGGAGAACCAUCCCUGUGUUUAUUGUGUUACUCAGUCUCUUAUUUCCUUAUCAACCUUUUGUCCAGUCUUUCUAUGCAUUAUUGAAAGUGGGGUGUUGAAAUCUCUGACUGUUAUUGUUCACGUUCUCUCUUUUGUUCUAUCAGCUAUGCUCCCUUGGUUUUAUGCUGUUUUGGUGCAUAUUGCUUAUAAUUCUUAUGCCUUCUGGAUAGGUUGACUCUUUUCUCGUUAAAUGCCCAGCUUUGUGUCUAGUAACAGUUUUAUCUCACAGUCUAUUUUGUCUGAUAUGAGCAUAGCCGCCCCACUGCUUUUUCUGUUUACUGUUUCUGUGGUAUCUUUCUCCAUCCUUUUACUUUCAGCUUAUUUGUGUCCUUGGCUAUAAAGUACAUCUCACAGACAACACAUCAUUGGAUUGUGUUAUUUUUAUCCAUUCUGCCAUCUCUGCCUUUGGACUAGAGUGUUUGGUCCAUUCACAUGUAAUUACUGAUAAGGUAGGAUUUACAUCUGCCAUUCUGUUAAUUGGUUUUUUUAAUACAUCCUGUGUCUUUUUAGUUCCUUUGUCCUUUCAUUUCUGCUUCUUUUGUAUUAAAUAUACAUUUUCUAGGCUACUGUUUUAAUUCCUUUGUUUCUUCCACUAUAUUUUAAGCUUAUUUUCUUAGUAGCUGACCAGAGGACUACCAUUACUAUUAUAAAACUGUCUAGUUGGAUUAAUACAAACUAAAUUCCAACUGCAUAUAAUUGGAAUUGUGCUUCUGUGUGGCUCUACCCCCCUUCUUGCUGUCAUUGCCCUGCAACUGGCAUCUUUAUAGAUUGUAUAGGCAUCACCACAGAUUUAUAAUUAUUACUUCAUGCUAUUCUCUGAUUUAAAAUCAGAU